rnacentral:misc_RNA from 1 species
GAUGAAGAACGUAGCGAAAUGCGAAAAGUAAUGUGAAUUGCAGAAUUCAGUGAACCAUCGAAUCUUUGAACGCACAUUGCGCCCGCUGGAACUCCGGCGGGCACGCCUGUCCGAGCGUCAUUUCAACCCUCAGGCCCCCCUUCGCGGGCGGGCCUGGUGUUGGGGCCCGGCCGCUACCCUGCGGCCGUCCCCUAAAUUCAGUGGCGGCCUCGCCGUGAUCCCUUGCGUAGUAAUGCACCUCGCACCGGAGAGCGCCGUGGCCACGCCGUAAAACCCCCAAUUUUCAAUGGUUGACCUCGGAUCAGGUGGGAAUACCCGCUGAACUUAAGCAUAUCAAUAAGCGGAGUA